rnacentral:rRNA from 1 species
ACGGAGGGUGCAAGCGUUAAUCGGAAUUACUGGGCGUAAAGCGUACGUAGGAUGUGAUGUAAGUUGGAUGUGAAAUCCCCGGGCUUAACCUGGGAACUGCAUUCAAAACUGCAUCGCUAGAGUGUAGUAGAGGUAAGCGGAAUUUCGGGUGUAGCGGUGAAAUGCGUAGAUAUCCGAAAGAACAUCAGUGGCGAAGGCGGCUUACUGGACUAACACUGACUCUGAGGUACGAAAGCGUGGGGAGCAAACAGG